CUAUAAUGCAGUCGAGCGACAGAUAAGGAGCUUGCUCCUUUGACGUUAGCGGCGGACGGGUGAGUAACACGUGGGUAACCUACCUAUAAGACUGGAAUAACUCCGGGAAACCGGGGCUAAUGCCGGAUAACAUUUAGAACCGCAUGGUUCUAAAGUGAAAGAUGGUUUUGCUAUCACUUAUAGAUGGACCCGCGCCGUAUUAGCUAGUUGGUAAGGUAACGGCUUACCAAGGCAACGAUACGUAGCCGACCUGAGAGGGUGAUCGGCCACACUGGAACUGAGACACGGUCCAGACUCCUACGGGAGGCAGCAGUAGGGAAUCUUCCGCAAUGGGCGAAAGCCUGACGGAGCAACGCCGCGUGAGUGAUGAAGGGUUUCGGCUCGUAAAACUCUGUUAUUAGGGAAGAACAAACGUGUAAGUAACUGUGCACGUCUUGACGGUACCUAAUCAGAAAGCCACGGCUAACUACGUGCCAGCAGCCGCGGUAAUACGUAGGUGGCAAGCGUUAUCCGGAAUUAUUGGGCGUAAAGCGCGCGUAGGCGGUUUCUUAAGUCUGAUGUGAAAGCCCACGGCUCAACCGUGGAGGGUCAUUGGAAACUGGGAGACUUGAGUGCAGAAGAGGAAAGUGGAAUUCCAUGUGUAGCGGUGAAAUGCGCAGAGAUAUGGAGGAACACCAGUGGCGAAGGCGACUUUCUGGUCUGUAACUGACGCUGAUGUGCGAAAGCGUGGGGAUCAAACAGGAUUAGAUACCCUGGUAGUCCACGCCGUAAACGAUGAGUGCUAAGU
rnacentral:rRNA from 1 species